UACAGAGGGGGCAAGCGUUGUUCGGAAUUACUGGGCGUAAAGGGCGCGUAGGCGGCCUUCUAAGUCGAACGUGAAAUCCCUGGGCUCAACUCGGGAACUGCGUCCGAUACUGGCGGGCUUGAAUCCGGGAGAGGGAUGCGGAAUUCCAGGUGUAGCGGUGAAAUGCGUAGAUAUCUGGAGGAACACCGGUGGCGAAGGCGGCAUCCUGGACCGGCAUUGACGCUGAGGCGCGAAAGCUAGGGGAGCAAACGGGG
rnacentral:rRNA from 1 species